AGGGCAGCCAUUUUAGAUUCAGGGCUGCCCAUAUAAACAGGGCAGUUCUGAUGAUGGGAGUCAGGUAACAAUAUUGCCUGGUUGGAGAGUUGCUGGUAUCAUCUGGAGUGAGCUUCAGAUCAGGUCUUGAAUGGAUUAAUUUUUAACAUACGGUGCUUGAACAUUUUCUUUAUGAUGACCAGCUGUCCUAGGUUAGAAAGCAACGCUUCUUUUACCUAAGCUAAAGAUCCCUGUGAAGCCCCAAAAUACUGUGGGGUCUGCUCAUCAAAAGGCUAAAGAUUGGGACAUGCUGAGUUUGAAACACGAAUUCCUGUCAUCUUGAGUUCCAUUCUGCCAGCCCCAAGGCUCUACAGAAUCCAUUUAGAGGUAGACUGUAACUGCUGAAUUAUGGUAAUACCAACUCUGUGUUAUACAGGGAACAUGGUCUUGUUGUGGUUACUUAGCUGCUGCCACAUCAUCUCCCCUGCUGACCAUGUUCUUGCAGACCACCUCUCCUAUAUGCCUGUAUACAGCUCCUAAUUGAAUAAAUAAAUACCCCACAGUGGAGUGAUGCCAGAGAUGUGGAAUUGAAGAGGUCAUGAAACAGCUGAUCUAGAGUACUUGACAGAAAAAAGCAGUCCCUAAACCAAUGAAAGUAAUGAGUAAGCUGAAGAAGUGAAAAGUUAAGACAUGUUUCAAGUUAAAUGCAGCAGUUUUGAACAGAGCUCUGUGAAAAGUGAAAUUUUGGGGGGGUAAUGUUGGACCAGUUCUUUAAGAAAACAAUCUUGAAAGUGUUUAUUUUAUAACUCUGAGAUCUUCCAAGGGAAUGUAUACAGUAAAGCUCUGCAAAAGAACAGUGGUGAAUGGAGUUGAUUCUCUACAUGCAGGGAGGGCUUCCAAGAAUGGCCCUACCUAACUAAAAAGCUAGAUCUACAAACAGACACUGGGGGCUUUUCCCAAAGGGGAGCAGUGCUUGAGGCUGGUGGCUAAUUUGCCGUUAGGAUCUACAUGGCCUUGCAGUUACUUGCCUUUCACUGUCACCUGAUUAUAUCUGUGGCUAUUAUAAAACUUAUUUCAGACUGAAAGGUAUUUUGAUGAAGUUACAUUCCCUCUCCCCCUCUUACAUCAAUUACUGGAAUUGUGCCGAAGAGACUGAGAGAUGCAUGGAAAUAGAAGUCCAUUGUGCUUUUGCAUGUCAUUAAAUACAUUAAAGUGGUAUUAAUCAUUUAUACACAUCAUUACUUUUGUGCGCACAAACUUCCCACAGAGUUUAGUUCCUAGGUAAACUAAUGUAAGGCAAUCAGAAGAAGUUCCACCAAAAUGCUAUAAAAAUGUUAGAAUGCACUGCAAGCUCCUCAGGGUGCAGGACCUUCUUUAUCCAUCUGUACAGAAUUCUGGUGGAUAUUUAUAGGGUACCAUCCCUAAAAUCAUGGGACAACAUUUUAACUUUACAAUCUGCCCUAAGCAAGGGGCACUAGCAAGUAGGGCUGUGCGAAGCUUCGGGUGCUGAUUUGAUUCGGAGGAGAUUUGGCCUGAUUUGGCAGGCAAAUCUCUGAAUGCGAAUUGAAUCAGAAGACCAAUAAAAAGAUCUGAAUUGAUUUGAAGCUCUCUGAAUUGAUUCAGAAAAGAUUUAGAGAGUUUCAAAGAUUCAGACAGAACCCACUUGCUGCCACAAGGAGCUGGACCCGAACUCCGUGCUGGUAAGUAGGAGGGAGGGGGGAACUGGAGGAGGUGGAGGGGACCAUGGGGGGACCCCUGCCAGGCACAAUGCCUGCAAUCCCAGCCCCCCAAGCACCUCCCUGCCCCUUGCCUGCUCUCCCACCCUCCCAUGGCUGCCCUGCCUGGCCCCAGCUCAUGACUUUAUUUUAUUUUUUUA